UUUUAAGGUGAUACCUAAAGCUUGUGAGAC
rnacentral:piRNA from 1 species